rnacentral:lncRNA from 1 species
GGAAGGAGACAGGGAUACUGGAGUGAUGGAGGUAGAUAUGUAUAGGGGACAGGGAUACUGGAGUGAUGGAGGUAGAUGUGUAUAGGGGACAGGGAUACUGGAGUGAUGGAGGUAGAUAUGUAUAGGGGGAAGGAGACAGGGAUACUGGAGUGAUGGAGGUAGAUGUGUAUAGGGGACAGGGAUACUGGAGUGAUGGAGGUAGAUAUGUAUAGAGGACAGGGAUACUGUAGUGAUGGAGGUAGAUAUGUAUAGGGGGAAGGAGACAGGGAUACUGGAGUGAUGGAGGUAGAUAUGUAUAGGGGACAGGGAUACUGGAGUGAUGGAGGUAGAUAUGUAUAGGGGGAAGGGGACAGGGAUACUGGAGUGAUGGAGGUAGAUAUGUAUAGGGGGAAGGAGACAGGGAUACUGGAGUGAUGGAGGUAGAUAUGUAUAGGGGACAGGGAUACUGGAGUGAUGGAGGUAGAUAUGUAUAGGGGGAAGGGGACAGGGAUACUGGAGUGAUGGAGGUAGAUAUGUAUAGGGGACAGGGAUACUGGAGUGAUGGAGGUAGAUAUGUAUAGAGGGAAGGGGACAGGGAUACUGGAGUGAUGGAGGUAGAUAUGUAUAGGGGGAAGGGGACAGGGAUACUGGAGUGAUGGAGGUAGAUAUGUAUAGGGGGAAGGAGACAGGGAUACUGGAGUGAUGGAGGUAGAUAUGUAUAGGGGACAGGG